UACAGAGGCUCCAAGCAUUACCCGGAAUUAUUGGGCGUAAAGGGUGUCUAGGCGGUCAUACUAGUCUCUCGUCAAAUCUGAGGGCUUAACCUUCAGGCUGCGAGGGAAACGGUAUGACUCGAGGGCGUAAGAGGUGCAUGGAACUCAUGGUGGAGGGGUGAAAUCCGUUGAUAUCAUGGGGAACACCAAAGGCGAAGGCAAUGCGCUGGUACGUUCCUGACGCUCAACCACGAAAGCCAGGGUAGCGAAUGGG
rnacentral:rRNA from 1 species